rnacentral:rRNA from 1 species
UACAGAGGUCCCAAGCGUUGUUCGGAUUCACUGGGCGUAAGGGGUGCGUAGGCGGUCGGGGUAAGUCUGAUGUGAAAUCUCACAGCUUAACUGUGAAACUGCAUUGGAUACUAUCCGGCUCGAGGAAUGGAGGGGAGACUGGAAUACUUGGUGUAGCAGUGAAAUGCGUAGAUAUCAAGUGGAACACCGGUGGCGAAGGCGGGUCUCUGGGCAGUAACUGACGCUGAGGAGCGAAAGCGUGGGGAGCAAACAGG